GUGAGAAAGGCACAAUGGUUACAUCUGCUACCGUGUCUCACAGGAAAACAUCACAGCUUUGCCAAACAUGAGAAGAAAUAUCCUGAAUACUAUUCCUGAGAAGUAAGACAAAGUACAGGCUUUGGAGGUAGACAAUCCAGGCUUGGAAUCCCAGCUCUGCCACUUACUAGCUGUGAGACCUUGGAUGCGGAAACUGAGGCAAGAGCGCUUAAGCACCUCGCCCAAGCUCCAACAGCAGCAGGUGACAGAGCCUUGACUUGAACCCAAGUAGUCUGGCCCCAGAGCCUACUCUAACAGCUAAGUUUGUUUCCUCUUUCAAGAGAAGAUCUUAGGUCCCUGCCUAAGUUUUAAAAGGAAAGCAGCGUCCCCUAGGAAUCAGAUCUGUCUUCACCAUGCUAAUGAGAAUACAGAAAAGGGGGGCUUAUAUUUAUUAUAAGCCUAAGAGGUUGAUCAUAGCAGCUUUAGAGUAAGACACCGUAUGAGGAUGGUAAAACUCAGUGGAAUAUUGGCUUUUAUGUAUUGUUUUAGUGAGGGAAGCAGGUUCCUUUUGAGCAUGUAUUAUCAUCUCUCCAUUACUGAUAAGGGAACUGAAGCCCAGAGAGCUGAAGUGACUCAUUCAAAGUCAUACAGCUAAAAACUGGUAUCUGGAUUCCAAGCCCAGUCUCUCUUUUAUACUAAUCUGCUUUGAGUGCC